rnacentral:sRNA from 1 species
CUGUCCACUGCCAAGGAGAUCAUCCAGCACUUUAAGGGCUGCCCUGCGGACCUAGUGGUGUGUGACGGGGCUCCUGAUGUAACCGGCCUCCAUGAUGUUGAUGAGUAUAUGCAGGCCCAGCUCCUCCUAGCCGCUCUGAACAUUGCUACACAUGUCCUGAAGCCAGGGGGCUGCUUUGUGGCCAAGAUAUUCCGAGGCCGGGAUGUGACACUCCUCUACAGCCAGCUGCAGGUCUUCUUCUCCAGCGUGCUGUGUGCCAAGCCCAGGAGCAGCCGGAACUCCAGCAUCGAGGCCUUCGCUGUCUGUCAGGGCUAUGACCCUCCCGAGGGCUUCAUCCCGGACCUGAGCAAACCCCUGCUGGACCAUUCUUACGAUUUCAACCAGCUGGAUGGUCCCACCCGCAUCAUUGUGCCUUUUGUGACCUGUGGGGACCUGAGCUCCUAUGAUUCGGACCGCAGUUACCCACUGGACCUAGAGGGCAGCUCAGAGUACAAGUACACUCCACCCACACAGCCCCCCAUCUCACCACCAUACCAGGAGGCCUGCACGUUGAAGAAGAAGGGGCAGCUGGCCAAGGAGAUCCGCCCCCAGGACUGCCCCAUCAGCAGAGUGGACACGUUUUCCCAGCCCCUGGCCGCCCCUCAGUGCCACACCCUGCUGGCCCCUGAGAUGGAAGACAAUGAAAUGAGUUGUUCACCUUAACCCAUUAUGCUGGCAAGCUGAUACAACUCAGAAACUGCUCAAUGUCAGGAAAACCGGAACUUGUUAAUGAACUUGUUUUCAAAAUAUCAUCUCAUCAAUGAGGCCUGGACAAACAAGCCCUGAGGAGGGAUCUGCAACAACCCUGAAGAUAACAAGGAAAGAAACCAUGGAAGUCAGUCUGUACUGCAGUGGGAAUUCUUGAGUGAGGUCUUACCUCUUCUUUAAACCUCUUCAGGAGUGUCCUGAUUAUAUCCAGAAUUUUCCCUAAAGGCAGGGAUUCUUAACCUGGAUAGAAGCCAGGGGUAACCAUGAACUUGAUAGAAGAAAAUGUUACAUCUUUAUUUUCAGCAAUAAAACUGAAAUUUAGCCUUACUCCCAAGUUAUAAAUGCUGGCAACAAAUCACAAUAGUAAAAGCAGUACCUGGGAUUUUCCCACCAAUACAAACCGUUACAGCAAUUGUAAUGUAACAUAAAAAGGGCAUCUUGAAGUAUUGUUCAUAUUUGUCACCUCUUGGAAUGAUAGCAGAUCCUAUAAGUUGAUGUAUUAAUUAAAAAGCCCAUAUAUUACUGCAUCUCAAUUUUGU